rnacentral:rRNA from 1 species
UACGAAGGGGGCGAGCGUUGUUCGGAUUCAUUGGGCGUAAAGGGUGCGUAGGCGGCGCGGUAAGUCGGGUGUGAAAUCUUGGAGCUUAACUCCGAAACUGCAUUCGAUACUGCCGUGCUUGAGGACUGGAGAGGAGACUGGAAUUCAUGGUGUAGCAGUGAAAUGCGUAGAGAUCAUGAGGAAGACCAGUGGCGAAGGCGGGUCUCUGGACAGUUCCUGACACUGAGACACGAAGGCCAGGGGAGCAAACGGG